GCCGGGUGUGGUAGCACACACCUGUGAUCCCAGCAGCUUGGAAGACUGAGGCAGGAGGAUCAAGUUCAAGGCUAGCCUCAGCAACUUAAUUAUGUCCUGGACAACUUGGAACCUGUCUUAA
rnacentral:sRNA from 1 species